GACGAACGCUGGCGGCGUGCUUAACACAUGCAAGUCGAACGAAGAGCGAUGGAAGCUUGCUUCUAUCAAUCUUAGUGGCGAACGGGUGAGUAACGCGUAAUCAACCUGCCCUUCAGAGGGGGACAACAGUUGGAAACGACUGCUAAUACCGCAUACGAUCUAAUCUCGGCAUCGAGGAUAGAUGAAAGGUGGCCUCUACAUGUAAGCUAUCACUGAAGGAGGGGAUUGCGUCUGAUUAGCUAGUUGGAGGGGUAACGGCCCACCAAGGCGAUGACCAGUAGCCGGUCUGAGAGGAUGAACGGCCGCAUUGGGACUGAGACACGGCCCAGACUCCUACGGGAGGCAGCAGUGGGGAAUCUUCCGCAAUGGACGAAAGUCUGACGGAGCAACGCCGCGUGAGUGAUGACGGCCUUCGGGUUGUAAAGCUCUGUUAAUCGGGACGAAAGGCCUUCUUGCGAAUAGUGAGAAGGAUUGACGGUACCGGAAUAGAAAGCCACGGCUAACUACGUG
rnacentral:rRNA from 1 species